CUGGGCCCGCCUCUGGCCUGCCGGCGCCCGGGGCGGGGGAAGCUGCCUGGGGCCGGGCGGAGGGGGUCAGUGGAAGCUGCCGCUCGUGUUAAAGAGGCCGGGAGGAGCGGCUCCGGGGCUGCUGCGAAGGAGUAGCGGAAAGAGUAAUGGGCUUCUGAGGAGCAAGUUCACACCCUCAUGAUUUUACUUGUAAAUGGAAAACCCACUACAGGUGAGCAUGCACUGUGUUAAAACUAACAGCUAGCCAGAAGUUUUAUGUACUCCUAAUAAUACAAAGCUGAAUUUUAGGACCAGAGGUGGUGGAUUGGUUAUUUAUUUUUUUUAAUCAAUGUGUUCUUUGAUGAGAGGGCCCAACACUGAGAGCUUGCGUGGAAAUACCAAUUUUGUGCAUGUGCACAGUUGAAUAAUUAAAGUUUUAAAUUUGGGGUACUCCUUAUUAAACUUAUUCACCAUUUUCAAAUAUAAUUUCCAAGUAGAUUUUCAGCAGAUAAUACACACUCUAGUAUACAUAACAGAUAUUUACUAGAGGAGAUACCAAGCCAGCAUGUACCUAGAUGCAGAAAAGAUCUUUCAUAGCUUGGAGGGUUCAUGAAAUCCCAGCA
rnacentral:lncRNA from 1 species